GACGAACGCUGGCGGCGUGCCUAAUACAUGCAAGUAGAACGCUGAAGCGAGGAGCUUGCUCUUCUUGGAUGAGUUGCGAACGGGUGAGUAACGCGUAGGUAACCUGCCUUGUAGCGGGGGAUAACUAUUGGAAACGAUAGCUAAUACCGCAUAACAAUGGAUGACACAUGUCAUUUAUUUGAAAGGGGCAAUUGUUCCACUACAAGAUGGACCUGCGUUGUAUUAGCUAGUAGGUGAGGUAAUGGCUCACCUAGGCGACGAUACAUAGCCGACCUGAGAGGGUGAUCGGCCACACUGGGACUGAGACACGGCCCAGACUCCUACGGGAGGCAGCAGUAGGGAAUCUUCGGCAAUGGGGGCAGCCCUGACCGAGCAACGCCGCGUGAGUGAAGAAGGUUUUCGGAUCGUAAAGCUCUGUUGUAAGUCAAGAACGGGUGUGAGAGUGGAAAGUUCACACUGUGACGGUAGCUUACCAGAAAGGGACGGCUAACUACGUG
rnacentral:rRNA from 1 species